CACCUCCUUGGUGGCCUCAACCCUUGGUGGCCUCAACCCUUGGUGGCCUCCUAAAUGGUGUCACCCCCCUGGUGACCUCCUUGGUGGCCUCCUCAUUAAUGUCACCUCCUUGGUGGCCUCAACCCUUGGGCCUCCACUGUGAUGUCACCUCCUUGGUGGCCUCCCUGACAGUGUCACCUCCUUGGUGACCUCCAUGAUGGCCUCAACCCUUGGCCUCCUCACUGAUGUCACCUCCCUGGUGGCCUCCCAAUCAAUGUCACCUCCCCGGUGGCCUCAACCCUUGGUGGCCUCCUCCUUGAUGUCACCUCCCUGGCAAUGUCACCUCCUUGGUGGCCUCACCCCUUGGUGGCCUCCUGGUGGUGUCACCUCCUCGGUGGCCUCCUUGGUGGCCUCAACCCUUGGUGGCCUCCCUGGUGGCCUCCCAAUCAAUGUCACCUCCUUGGUGGCCUCACCCCUUGGUGGCCUCCUCCUUGAUGUCACCUCCCCGGUGGCCUCCACCCCCCCCUUGGUGGCCUCGUGGCCUCGCUUCUGGAACCUUCUCCCGGCGCCGGAGGUCGGACAUUUUUUUUGGGGGGGGGUGGGGGAGGGGAGGCUCGUUAGGGCCCCCCCCCUCGUUAGCGGGGCCUCGUUAAUUAAUUAAUUAAUUAAUUAAAGCUGCAGCCGGCGCUGAGGGGAGAGGCUUUAUUGGGGGGGGGGGAGGGGGGGNNNNNNNNNNNNNNNNNNNNNNNNNNNNNNNNNNNNNNNNNNNNNNNNNNNNNNNNNNNNNNNNNNNNNNNNNNNNNNNNNNNNNNNNNNNNNNNNNNNNGGGGGGGGGGGGGUUGGGCACGAAAUGCGUCGUUGGCCUCCUGGGGCCUUCAUCUUCAUCAUCAUCUUCAUCCCCAGGGCCUUCAUCAUCAUCCCUGUGGCCUUCAUCUUCUUCCUCAUCAUCAUCUUCCUCCUCCUCUGAGCCUUCAUCUUCAUCAUCAUCGUCGUCAUCUUCAUCAUCUUCCUCCUCGGAGCCUUCAUCUUCCUCCUCCUCCUCAUCGUCUUCAUCCCCAGGGCCUUCAUCUUCCUCAUCAUCGUCUUCCUCCUCCUCGUGGCCUUCAUCUUCAUCCCCAGGGCCUUCAUCUGCAUCCUCCUCCUCCUCUGAGCCUUCAUCUUCCUCCUCCUCCUCAUCAUCUUCAUCUCCGGGGCCUUCAUCAUCAUCAUCAUCUUCCUCCCCGGGGCCUUCAUCUUCAUCAUCAUCCUCUUCGGGGCCUUCAUCUUCUUCCUUGCGGCCUUCAUCUUCCUCCUCCUCAUCAUCAUCUUCCUCCUCGGAGCCUUCAUCUUCCUCCCCGUCCUCCUCUUCGGAGGCUCCAAGGUCACCUUCCUCCUCCUCACCAUCCUCUUCCUCCUCCUCCUCCUCUUCCUCUCCGGCCUCAGUUCCUUCGGCCUCACCCUCACCUUCCUCCUCCUCCUCCUCCUCUUCCUCCUUAGGGCCUUCAUCUUCCUCCUUGGGGGCCUUCAUCUUCCUCUUUGGGCCCUUCAUCCUCUUCCUCACAGCCUCCAUCUUCCUCCCCACCCUCCUCUUCCUCAGGGCCUUCCUCCCUCACCUCCUUCCUACUCCUCAUCACUUCCCGCCUCCUCCUCCUCCUCCUCCUCGGGGCCUUCAUCACCUUCCUCCUCCUCCUCCUCCUCCUCUUCCUCCUCCUCAGGGCCCCCAUCCUCAUUUUCGGGGUCCUCAUCCUCAUUUUCGGGGCCUCCAUCCCCAUUUUUGGGGCCCCCAUCCUCCUCUUCUUGGCCUUCCUCUUCAUUUUCGGGGCCCCCAUCCUCAUUUUCGGGGCCCUCAUCCCCAUUUUUGGGGCCCCCCUCUUCAUUUUCGGGGCCCUCAUCCUCAUUUUUGGGGCCUUCAUCCUCUUUUUGGUCUUCAUCCUCUUCUUUUUGGCCUUCUUCCUCCUCUUUUUGUCCUCCAUCCUCAUUUUCGGGGCCUCCGUCUUCAUUUUUGGGGCCUCCGUCUUCAUUUUUGGGGCCUCCGUCUUCAUUUUUGGGGCC
rnacentral:lncRNA from 1 species